rnacentral:misc_RNA from 1 species
GAUGAAGAACGUAGCGAAAUGCGAUAAGUAACGUGAAUUGCAGAAUUCAGUGAAUCAUCGAAUCUUUGAACGCACAUUGCGCCCGGUAGUAUUCUGCCGGGCAUGCCUGUUCGAGCGUCAUUUCAACCAUCAAGCCCCAGCGCUUGUGUUGGGGGCCUGCGGCUGCCGCAGCCCCCUAAAAGCAGUGGCGGGCUCGCUAUCACACCGAGUGCAGUAGUUCAUCUUCUCUCCGGUCUUGUGAGGCGGGUUCCGGCCGUGAAACACCCCACUACAUUCAAGGUUGACCUCGGAUCAGGUAGGAAUACCCGCUGAACUUAAGCAUAUCAAUAAGCGGAGGA